UACGGAGGGUGCGAGAGUUAUUCGGAAUAACUGGGUGUAAAGGGCACGCAGGUGGGCUUUUAAGUGAGAUGUGAAAUCCCAGGGCUUAACCUUGGAGUAGCAUUUCAGACUGGGAGUCUAGAGUACUUUAGGGAGGGGUAGAAUACCACGUGUAGCAGUGAAAUGCGUAGAGAUGUGGAGGAAUACCGAAGGCGAAGGCAGCUCCGUGG
rnacentral:rRNA from 1 species